rnacentral:piRNA from 1 species
UGGUGCAAAAUUUCUUGAUCAGGGAUACCA